GAUGAAGAACGUAGCGAAAUGCGAUAAGUAAUGUGAAUUGCAGAAUUCAGUGAAUCAUCGAAUCUUUGAACGCACAUUGCGCCCGCCAGUAUUCUGGCGGGCAUGCCUGUCCGAGCGUCAUUUCAACCCUCGAACCCCUCCGGGGGUCCGGCGUUGGGGAUCGGGAACCCCUAAGACGGGAUCCCGGCCCCGAAAUACAGUGGCGGUCUCGCCGCAGCCUCUCAUGCGCAGUAGUUUGCACAACUCGCACCGGGAGCGCGGCGCGUCCACGUCCGUAAAACACCCAACUUCUGAAAUGUUGACCGCGGAUCAGGUAGGAAUACCCGCUGAACUUAAGCAUAUCAAUAAGCGGAGGA
rnacentral:misc_RNA from 1 species